rnacentral:snRNA from 1 species
AGCUUUGUGCAGUGGCAGUAUCGUAGCCGAUGGGGUUUAUCCGAGGCGUGAUUAUUGCUAAUUAAAAACCCUUUGAUACCUUUGCCAUGAAAGCAUGACAUAAUUCUUAAAAAAUAUCAGUUAA